rnacentral:lncRNA from 1 species
GGGAGUAUGGAGCUGCUUCACUGACAGUGAGAGUUUAAAACUAGAACACCAACAUUAAAUUCACAUUCAAGCAAUUUUAACAAAUAUGAAGCAUGAAAUAAAGUCACACAUUCGGAGUCAAUUCCUCGGUUUCUAGGAAAGCAUGCAGCAGACAUUUUUAAUCGGUCUACUAUUUUCCUCAUUUGAGCUGUAGCAAUUGCAGAAAUAAAAAUUACAUCUUUUUUUACAAACAUAUUAAGUGCUUGAGAGCUACAUACAGACAAGAUGUGCUUUAGCUGUGAUGAAGUUUAUGUGAGUGUGUGAACUAAACAAAUGAAAGAUUAAAUAAAUGUUAAUAAAUCCAAAAAUACUGACCAGGGCAAGAAAAAAAAAGAUAAUUUUGCAUGUCGAUAUUUUUAUGAAAGUAUUCAAUUUUAAAAUAGCCUAUUAAAUUGUGUUUUCAGGCGAGCGUAAUUUUCCCAUAAUUCAGUGCGUGAGGUCAAUCCGAACUCUGCUACUAUGCUAAUGCUAGGCUAGCACGUAGGUCCUGGCUGCCUUGGAGGCUCUUUGAAGCGGCUGUCAGUCACAUAAAUGUUUGUUCUUCUUGAGAGAAAGAUUAAACGUCUAACAGCAGAUCCUGCUGCUGAAGUGAGCGAUGAAGAAGAAGUCAAGGAACAGCACUCAAGUUACCUGUUGAGUCCUGCUCUUCACCUCAGACAACCAGAAAUCCCAGAGGUGCAGCAGGAUCCACAGUCUGUGAUGUUGCCUCAGGGGGAGAUUAGGAGGGGCAGCCGGCCCUCUGUGUCACGUCGACAGUCACAGCGCCCAUCCGCUGCUGGGCCAAACCCCACUGGGACCUUAAAUCCUGUUACACUGUCAGCUAAAACCAUCAUUUGUAUUAGAGAUGUGUGGGUGUUUAAGUGUGU